rnacentral:lncRNA from 1 species
UAGAAGAAUGCGUAUGUGUGUGUGUGCGCGCGCGCGUGUUCGUGUGAAUGUGUGUGUAUGUGUGUCAAUAAUAAGUAAUAAUAUAUCUCUCUCUAUAUAUAUAUGUAUAUGUGAGUAUAUAUAUAUAUAUAUAUAUAUAUAUAUAUAUAUAUAUAUAUAUAUAUAUAUACGUUUAAAUAUUUGUUGUGCAAGAUUUUUUUAUGUGAAGUCGUGUGUUGAAACAGAUAUUGUUAUAUUUCGGAAUGGUCAUAUUGCCAGUUUAGCCAAUAAAACCACGCACUAUAUAUUUGGUGUUAUUUUGCUUCAGUGUUAUUUAUUUUUUACAUUAAUCUUAAUCUUAUUUCGGCCAGAGUUCUUUCGUCACACUCCUGUGACAGCAUCAGUGGUCCUUUGUUUUCUUCUUUCUUAUUUGUGUCUCUCCUUACUAACCGUCAGCCAUUUUGUAUUACUAUUGUAUGUCUUCAUUUGCGCAUGCUUAUAUCUCUAUGUGCGUCUAUGUUUAUUUAGUGUGUGUAAGUGGGGGGAUGCCUGUAAUAUUUGUAUCUUCUGUUUAUAUAUGUUCAUGUGUUUACAUCCACUUAUUAUUAUCAUUACAUAUGGUUGUAUGUAUGUAUGUAUGUAUAACAACAAUACUAGUAAUAAUGAUAAUAAAUCGAAGCGCAAAAAAAAAAAAUAUAUAUAUAUAUAUAGUUAUUUAUUUCUAUUUGUUUAUUUAUCUGUGUAUUUAUUAUGUUUUCGGGAUCCUCUAUCGUCAUAUGUUGUGGUAUGUGCUAGUGCUCCAUUCUAGUUUUCUAUUCAGGCUAGGUUUAUUUUCUAUUAUGUGUGUAGCUUCUGUAAUUUGUCUAAUUGUUGCAUCUGUUCUAUGUGUGGACAAUAUUUUAAUUUCUAUGUUAUUGAUUGAUAUAUUUUGAUGGCAGACCUCGUCAGAAUAAUGAGAAAUGUGUCACGCAUGUGCGAGCCCACAGAGUUAAAGAGACACAUACAAUAUGCGAUACUAAAUGCAUAAAUGUAUAUAUAUAUAUGUAUAUAUAUAUAUGUAUAUAUAUAUAUAUAUAUGUAUAUACUUCCAUGUAUAUAUAUAUGCAAACGCCAUGAUAGACCGUUAGCUCCUACACGCAUUUUUUCUCUCCUUGUUUUUUUUCUGUGUAUCUUUCUGUCGAAGAGCGUAGGCUCGAAACGUAAAAGACUUGUUCUAUUUCUAUUCCUGAGCGCCAUACUAAUACAUUUGUUUGCAGGUAGGUGGCUGCCUUCGUCUUUUGUUUAUUUUCGUAAACCUUCCCGUUAUAUAUGUAUAUACAUACAUAUAUACACACACAUACAUAUAUAUUCAUAUCUUAUUCCUUAUUAUUAACACACCCACACUACCCACACGUACGUACUCUUCUACUUAAAAUAUGUACUGUAUAUCUCAGGUGGAAUAGAUUUUCUUGUGGGCUGAUAUCAUUGCUUGUUUGUUGCUGUACACUGUCGCACGUUCCCACAUUUUUUUAUCACAACAUAUUUCAUACUUGUUUACAAACAACAAGUAAGCAAAUAGCUAGCGUUGAAAUACUUUUGGAUCGUAAAUUCCAAUUUCUCAUAUAACUAACUGCUUUUCUUGCGUCAUCAGAGGUUUUGAAGGAUGGUCACACAUCAUGCAUUGAAAGAAUGCAGUGGAAGUGAUUUUGAUUUGUGUUUGUGUGUAUGUGAAUCCCUGCAUAUAUUACGCAUACAUGUGUCUCUGUGUGUGUGUGUAUGUGUAUGUAUUCUUUUAUUCUUUUACUUGUUUUGUCAUUUGACUGCGGCCAUGCUGGAAUACCGCCUUUAGUCGAGCAAAUCGACCCCAAGACUUAUUCCUUGUAAACUUAGUACUAAUUCUAUCAAUCCUUUUUGCCGAACUGCGAAGUUACGUAAACGGUCCAGCGUCUGUUGUAAAGCGAUGUUGAUGGGACAAACAGACACACAAUCAUAUACGCAUAUAUAUAUAUGUGUGUGUGUAUGUAUAUAUAUAUAUAUAUAUAUAUAUAUAUAUAUAUAUAUAGAUAUAUAUAUAUUUAUAUACACACACAGAUAUAUAUAUAUAUAUAUAUAUAUGUGUGUGUGUGUGUGUGUGUACUAUCUGACGUACCCGGUAAUUCCCGAGAAAGCGGGGUUUAUUCCUUGGUUCUGUUUUCAUAAUUGUCUCCCAAUCCAGUAACAACAAUACAAAGUAUGUAGCCCUUAAAACGGUUUUUGUGUAUUUCUUGAGAAUAAUGAACUGUCUUACAUAAGAUCUUGUUUUUAGGAAUUCCCAAUAAGUUAUGAAUACCCAAAUUGUGAAGUCAGUUAUGUAAUAACCUGAAAUUAAUUACUCGAUAGUAAGAAUUGAAACAAAGUAAGGGCUUUGAUACGUUCUCAGAACUUAGGAGGAAAUACUAAUAUGGUAUGUGUACUAAAAUCGUAAAUCAUGUUACGUAGUAACUGGCUAAUGAGAUAUAAGAUAAUAACUAUUCUAUGUAAAUAAUUCUCAGAAAAGGUUUUGUGCGUUCGCAGAGAAUGUUACCCUCAUCGGCGCUAGUGUUGGUAUAUUCGUGAAUAAUACACUAACCGAAAUAAGUGGGUCUAUUGUUUAGGAAUAUACUAUUUACUUGUUUAAGCGUUCUACUGGUUAAAUUGCGAAAACAACUGAAAUAGUUCAAAUACAAAGAAAUAAGGAUGCUCAAUUUGAUUUAUACGAAAUAAAUUACGAACAUAAAUGGGUUAUUUCCCUUGGAUAUCUGUAAGGAUCAUUUUCAGAAGCAAAUGGGUUAUUACCCUUGUAUGAUAUCUUAGUUAUAUGUAGUAGAUAUAAGAAUCCCUUCGAGGGAGUCUAUUAUGGAUUCUUCAACGAUCUAAGUUUGUCACUAAUUUUCCAGAUAUGACUUCUACUCACCUGCUAAGUUCCAUCAAAAUCGAUAAAACGAUGUAGGUGGUGUUAGAUAACAACGCCCAAACACACCCAUAGAUUUACACAUGUGUAGUAUAUAUAUAUAUAUAUAUAUAUAUAUAUAUAUAUAUAUAUAUAUAUAUAUAUAUAUAUAUAAUUGCCAACCAAGGGUGGUGUCCUAUACGGGACAGUACUACUGACGUUUAUAGCUCCAGGAAGACAUCUGUUCAAACUGGCUACCGACACCCAUUCUGUGUCCGAUAGAGGACACAUAUACAUAGAUACACACAUAUGCGUAUAUAUACAUGUAUAUAGUAUACCGUGUGGGUACACAGACGGACGGCUCGUUCUGCCGAGUUUAGAGCUUUGCGGAGAUUAUUUUCAUCCAAUAUUGUAUUUAGUCGUAUUACUGGUUAUUAUAUAUGGCGCAAUAGAUGGAGAAAUUACGAUAACCACAUUUAUACAAUUUUUUUCUCUUCGCACGUCUCCCCAUUGUUGUUGUUUGGAACUUUGGCAUUGGAUGUUUUAAGUGCAACUGAAUGCAUAAUCACAAUGAAUCAUCAAGGGAACUCUUAAUUGCAUUAUAUUACAGAAAUGAAAUGGAUCUUAACUAACCAGCUUCAAGGUUAUAAAGGCUUAUUAUCAUUCAGGUUAGAAAGUCUGCAAUGGCCAUACUCGAUAGCGAGGCGGAGUCAUAAAUAUAUACAUACAUAUAUAUAUAUAUAUAUAUAUAUAUAUAUAUAUAUAUAUAGAUAGAUAGAUAAGAAAGUUUGUUUGGUAAAGCACGUGGGUGAAUAUAUAAGAAAAUAGUAAAGUGUGAAAAAACGACAGAAGGCUUAAAUGUUAAAAAAUAUAUAUAUUUGUGUCAAAAUGUCUGGAGAAUAUUGGAAAAAUUUUUUUCCUUUCCUUAAAAUGACAUAAUUUUAAAAUUUUUAAAGAAAUUACCGGUUUCGCGUGUAGCUUUUCAAAUUUCUUGUGACGUUAUGUUUAUAUUGCAUGGAGUUAUCGUUGUAUUUAUUUUCAGGAGAUUUCUAAAUAAGGGGAGGUAGUGAGUGAUUUCUUCCGGUGUAAGGGAGAUAAUCGCUUAAAAUUUUUUUUCCUUUUCCCUUGUUCAUUUCUCUGUGUCAGUAUGUUCGGAUGGUUUUUCCCUUUCUUGUGAAAAUUUGGAUUCUUCAUGACGGAAGUGCACCCUGUCACCAAGCACACCUCACUUGUGAGUCUCUCGCCAAAAGCUACAUGGUAUCGCUUCCGCACCCGCCCUAUCUGCCAGAUUUAACAUCUGGAAACUUCCAUCUCGUCCUCAGGAUGAAAAUGCAGCUCAAAUGAUGCCGUUUUAUCAAACAUACCUAGUUCAGUAACUUGUUGAUACUUAUUUAUUUAUUUAUGCGCCCUUUUCAAGCCUGGCCAGAUUCAUGGGCCCGGUUUCCCGGUUUCUGUGGUGUAUGUGUUCCCCCCCCCCCAGCUGGACGGGACACCAGUCCAUCGCAGCGUUACCCAAGGAACAGGAAGUGAGAGUGAGAGAAAUUUGUGGCGAAAGAGUACAAUAGGGGUCGCCACCACCCCCUGUCGGAGCCUUGUGGAUCUUAUAGGUGUUUUCGCUCAAUAAACACACACAACACCCGGUCUUGGAAUCGAAACCGCGAUCCUCCGACCGCGAGUCCGCUGCCCUAACUACUGAGCCAUUGCGCCUCCGCAAACUUGUUGAUACUGCCUCGUAUAAAUUAAUUUUUCUUUUAAUUUUUAAAAUUAAUUAAUUUUUUCUUUUACAAGGUCCUGUAACAGACCACUCCUGGAUAGUGACCUGUGGCAUCACCCAAAUGUGGAGAUAAAGAACGAAUCAUCCGGCUAGCUGCUACAGUAUGACACCGAAGCCAGCCUGUUUUAGCCUGUCCUUGCCCGCUGAACAACAUUACUGUUGUACAGAAAGAAAAAAUACUAGCCAAUUGCAAAAG